GAGUUUGAUCAUGGUUCAGGAUGAACGCUGGCGGCGCGCCUAACACAUGCAAGUCGAACGGCCGGACCCACCUCGGUGGGCGAGGCAGUGGCGAACGGCUGAGUAACACGUGGGCAACCUGCCCCCCUCCCCGGGAUAGCCUCGGGAAACCGUGGGUAAUACCGGAUACACCGCCCCCUCCGCAUGGGAGGGGCGGGAAAGCUCCGGCGGGGGGGGAUGGGCCCGCGGCCUGUUAGCUAGUUGGCGGGGCAACGGCCCACCAAGGCGACUAUGGGUAGCUGGGUUGAGAGACCGACCAGCCAGAUUGGGACUGAGACACGGCCCAGACUCCUACGGGAGGCAGCAGUGGGGAAUCUUGCGCAAUGGGCGGAAGCCUGACGCAGCGACGCCGCGUGCAGGAGGAAGGCCCUCGGGUCGUAAACCGCUUUCAGCAGGGACGAGGCCGCAAGGUGACGGUACCUGCAGAAGAAGCCCCGGCUAACUACGUGCCAGCAGCCGCGGUAAUACGUAGGGGCGAGCGUUAUCCGG
rnacentral:rRNA from 1 species